UACAAUAGAAAUCUUUAGUUGUGGCCUGAAAAUUAUUCUUCAUUCGCGACUAUGUAUUUUGUAACUCAGUUAACUGUAGUUGCAUCUUUGGCGAUAAUUUGUUCAAUUUUGCACAUGGCUCAUGCAAUCAGCUGCAAGGAAGUAUUUGAUAAAAAAAAUGAAAUUCAAGACUGUUGCUCGGCUCCAACAUACUUAAAUACUGAAGGGCUCAAAGAAUGCUUUGAAGAAAACAAAGACAAAGAAAAACGCGAAAUGUUUGCUUGUUCACUUGAGUGCUUUUUCAAACGGUACCAAGUUCUGGAAGAUGACGGUGAAGUUUCCAAGGAAAAGAUGCUUGCAAAAGUUGAAGGAUUCGAGGGCGAAUGGAAACAAACGAGCACAAAAAUGAUCGAAGAAUUGCUAAAUAUGAUGGACUGAAGGCCAAAUAUGGCGACGGUGGAAAAAGGAGAGCUGCAAUCCGUCGUCUAGUUUCAUGAACAUGUGUCUAGCAAGAAGUUUAUCGAAUAUUGUCCAGCCGAGCACUGGAACGAUUCCGACCUGUGCAACAAAAUCAGAAGUGGUGAAUGUGAACCC